AGGAGGCCGCUCAAUGCAUCGUCUUUGAUCUCACCUUCGCUUCCACUGCUGCAAAUUCGAUCUAUCGCCUCUCAAUUUCGGUUUCAAUCUCCUUCUUCAUCGCCUUCGUCGUUCCAUUGUAGCAGUUCUCAGUGUUCGUAAACUGCUCCUCUUCUCCAAAAAUCGGGUUGCGCAACGAAUCCCCAAGGUAGAAAUAUUCGUGGAUUUUCCGAGCAUGAUUUCUGAUCCAUUUGAUGCCGAGUUUGCCGUAAGUGUUCGCUUCUGCGCUGAUCGUCUGCUCACGAUAAUUCCCGUUUUUGCUUCCUGAGAUCCAAAGCCUGUGAUUCACCAGUUCAAAGACGUCGUACACCAGAAAGGAAUACUGAAUACCCAAGUUCGAGUAGGACAUUGUAAGUCGAAUUUCCUACCAUUGCGUGAAGCUGUAUUCAAACUUAUCAGCGUUCUAAACAUCAGUUUGAAGAAGUUUGUGGAAAUGAACUUUGAUUAAAUGAGAUCCAGACAUUUCAAUUCCAUGGAGAAGUUUGUUUUUUGGAAAUGUAUUUGACCCGCCGUCGUUUGUUCAUCCUUUGGAGCUGAGGAAGACAAGGACAGUCUGGGCUUGCAUAGGUGUUGCUGUUAUGACAAGAUCUUGUGAAGCACAAGUCAUUGAUCCUACAACCAUCUGUUUCUUCCCAGGAAUAUAAGGUCACUUUCACCCUAAAUCUUGUCAGAUUGAGUCGAUGAAACCACCAUUUCGCAAUUGAAGAUCAAUACAAGAUGGAGAAGAAGAGAUCUAGUUUCAUUUCAUAACCUUGGAGACAAAAAUUAUCUGAAUAAUUUCUUCUACUCCCAAGCAUCGCGGGAAGAUGGGGAUGGAGGUGAAUACUUCAAACGAAAAGGCGGGUUGCAAGAAUAUGUGAGACCCUCAAACCAAGAAAAGUUGAAAUCCACCAGCCAUAGGUACACUCCCUCCUUCCGCAGAGGUCUAGAAACAUCCAGCAAUUGGUAUGCAGAAAGAAUUUCACAAAACUUUGGUUACGAUUUCUCACAUUUUUCUGAAACCUCUAUUAUGACUCCUCCAACGUGCAACCCACGUCAUUUUUCUGAAACCUCUCACUUGAGAUUUCAUGAUCCAAUCCUUGUCACAGAUAUCAAAUCCUCACGCAUUUCCAGACCUUGAACUUGGUGGUCAGCAUCGGCUUUCAUCUUGCAUUGUUGGUUCUGCUAGGGAGGUGCGGCUAACACAAAAUGGAGACCCUGAAAACAAUGAGCACGAAGACGUAAACGACAUAGCAGUCAACUGUAAACUUAAACCAGCAGGAGAGAUCAAAAGAAGAACCAGCACCAUUAGCUCCGAGAAAGGAAGAAGCGAGGCACAUGAUAAAGCCCUAAGGCGAAUCCUAGCAACUCAAGAGCAGAGAAAUGUUGUACGGUGAACGUUCUUGCUCACUCUCUGACUAUCAUUCUUAGAGUUAUCUUCUACAUAUCAUGAAUCCAAAAUUGAAUCUUGUGUCGUGACACACCUAGAUUUAUAAACCGUCCGCUAGAUGCAAGUUGUAGCUACGAGAAAGAGGAAGCCGAAGCUCUCCACCAAGGAAACACAGAGAGGUGGUGGGUGGGAAGGCGAAACUCAGAAGGAAGGCAUUUAUUUGCGGUACAGGAACAGAAGAAAGAGCAAAACAGCAAGGAAGACAAGUGGGGGCAACCUUUCAACAAAUUUGUAACGGACACCCUUCAACUUGUUUGUGUUCUUUGCGGGCAUUUUGCUACAGAGGACACUUGGAAAUAGUAAGAGAUUGUGCACAAUUAAGGUCACAGAAAUCAACGAUAGUGGGCAUUGUUUGAAUGAUGUGGAGGCACCAAAAGUGAGUGAGUUGCCAAAAAUACAGAGAGGGUGAGAAUUUUGCCGAGAAGAGAAAAGAGGCAUGUCUUUUUGUACCCAGGAUUGCUUUAGCCCACCUCAUACGGUACAGGACAACUCCGUAUCAUGUGAAGAAGAAGAUAAUUCACACGAGGACAAGAAAAAAAAGGAUGGACACCAAAUAU